CAUAGACCAAAGCUGCCAAUAUCACAGAUUGAUACACAGGAACUCCAGGCAUGGAUGCUGGUGGAUCAACAAAUAUAAUGCUCACACAAUUUCGUAAACUACCCCUUCCAACAUACUAGAAAACCACAAAACGUGUCGUUCAUAAACCCCACCCUCUUUCUCAUUUCUGUACCCCAACCCCCUUCCUUCCAAACCUUGACUUGGCUACCUGAAUUGUUUAUGUUGCACCACCUAGGAAUUGUUAUCACGAUACACCAGGAUGUCAAACCAACAACCGUUACAAAAACCAAGAGACAACACGAUGUCUAAUGUUGAAUGUAUC